rnacentral:misc_RNA from 1 species
UUGAUAAGGACUGCCACUAUGGGUACGACCAUUAUCAGGAGUAACCCUUUCUCUACGGUAAGGACUACGGCUGGACCCAUGGCCAUGGUCAUGGCCUGCCCUCUCUCUCCUGUAAGGACUACGGCUUGAGUCUCGGCCAUAGUCAGGACUAGCUCUCUCUCUCCUGUAGGGACUUGGGCUGCGACGACGGCCAUAAUCUGGGCUAGCCCUCU